rnacentral:misc_RNA from 1 species
GAUGAAGAACGUAGCGAAAUGCGAUAAGUAGUGUGAAUUGCAGAAUUCAGUGAAUCAUCGAAUCUUUGAACGCACAUUGCGCCCUUUGGUAUUCCUUAGGGCAUGCCUGUUCGAGCGUCAUUUAAAAAUUCAAGCUCAGCUUGGUGAUGUGUGCCUGUCCCACCUUUGCGUGCGGACUCGCCUCAAAUGCAGUUGGCAGCUUAUCCUCCGGCUCUAAACGCAGCAGAUUUGCGUCGAAGCGCCGUCGGGACGGGCUCUCCAGUAAGCAAACCCCCCCAAGAUUGACCUCGGAUCAGGCAGGGAUACCCGCUGAACUUAAGCAUAUCAAUAAGCGGAGGA